AUUGAACGCUGGCGGCAGGCCUAACACAUGCAAGUCGAGCGGAGCGGCGGUCGGGUGAGUAAUGCCUAGGAAUCUGCCUGGUAGUGGGGGAUAACGUCCGGAAACGGGCGCUAAUACCGCAUACUAUCAGAUGAGCCUAGGUCCGAUUAGCUAGAUGGUGGGGUAAAGGCCUACCAAGGCGACGAUCCGUAACUGGGCUGAGGGGAUGAUCAGUAAAACGGGAACUGGGAAACGGCCCAGACUCCUACGGAAGGCAGCAGUGGGGAAUAUUGGACAAUGGGCGAAAGCCUGAUCCAGCCAGGCCGCGUGUGUGAAGAAGGUCUUCGGAUUGUAAAGCACUUUAAGUUGGGAGGCGGUACCAACAGAAUAAGCACCGGCUAACUACGUGCCAGCAGCCGCGGUAAUAC
rnacentral:rRNA from 1 species